AAACUACUUCUUAAAGUACCGCCCCCCUCUCCCCCCCAAAAUAUAUAUAUAUCCAUAAGUAAAUGUAACUAUUUACUUUCCAACUCUUGGCCCAAAUCUACAGACGAAUAUGGGUCAGAGGUCAUGAUUCUGCAAUCAGGAGAGCCAGUCUCAGAUUAACCAAAAGCUUCUUAAUGAUCCUGAAGAUUUCAGGAAAGUGAAGUUUUUGGUAGAAUAGAGCAGAAAUGUCCAUCAUUGUCCCACAGUGACAUAAACUGAAUAAUAAGAGACUGGACAGCUAAUGCUAACUUGACAUGUGACGGUAGUAACCAGGGUUUAGAUUCCCACUUCCUGCUUUGGUUUGAAUCCUCGGAGUUCAGGCCACAAAAAGCGGAAGUGGAUCGAUGACUCGGGAAGGGAGGCGGCGGUCCGGUCCGGCUUACUGUGGGCAGUCGGCUCGGUUCGAUUAAUGAUCCUGACCAACACUUCCUUCUCCCGCGCGGGACCGUGGGGCAAUUAUUGUUUUUAUGUAAGAGAGGAGUUUAAAAAUUACACCAUCGUUUGUUUUGCAACGGCUGCGGGCGCGUCUGCAAGCGAUGACGUCACGUCCUGGAAGUUCAGAGAAGUGGAUGAAGAAACGGAGCUGAAAAGACGAAAUCUCCCUCGUUUAGUCACAAAAUGUUUCUGGAUGAGCGAACAGGAGUCUGAAGUUCUGCCGUUUCCAUGAAUCCACAACGAAACUCCAGAAACGGCUAACCGGGUCUGGAGGAAGUGGGACCAAACCGACAACAGGUUGAGGUUUACAGUAAUCAGAAUCUACAACCGCCGAUGAAACCUCAGUGAAGUCUCAAUGACAACGGCGUGGCGGGGGCGUUGCAGACGGACGGAAAGGAGGAAAUUUCCAUCAACACAAUAAAUACCAGAUUCUUCUGAGAACAUUUCUAGUUUCAAAAGUUAAAAAUAUUUCACUUUUCACAUUCAGAAAUGUCCACAUUUUUUUCUGGAUAUUUUGAGAUUAAUCUCACAGUUUGAGUUUCUUCUUGCAAAUUUUUAA